GCUGUUCAAGUUUCUGAAGUGAUAUGCUGCCGAAUGACAACACAAGCGCUGCGCGGGACUUAUUAAAACGAAUGGAUGGAUUUCGCUGCAGCGAUCACUCAACUGUCGGUAAGAUUUCGAAUAAAAUGCAUGAAUAUACAUAACGGUUACUUUACGAGUUGACUUUCAGUCGGAGGGCGAACAUUUACCUCGGCCCACCAACUAGCGGUUUUGGCUAAUGAUUUUUAGCUUCAAGGCAAGAUAACAGGCUGCCCUUCGUAAGUUUGUUUCAGAUGUUGUGUGUGUAUUUGUCAUAAUGUACAGUAAUAAGUUAUGGACAGACAUACAGUAGUUUCUUCCUGUGCUGCGUUGUGCACGUCUGUUUCAUCAUCUGAGCUAUCAGUUGUGUUUCUUUGAAGCAAAGAUGUAUAGAAUAGCACUGAAAGUCGGAGGUGUCAUAUUUGUUCAACCUGGUGUUAAACGUAAUUUCAAUUCUUGACCAGUGCAUGGAAAGAAAUUGUAAAUAAAACCGACUUGAUGUAGUAGUGCUAAAAAUAAACCUUUAUAUUUUCUCUUAGUGAACUUCUCAAAAUAUAUGGGCUACAAUGUAGAUACUACUUGGGAUGGGUUUAUCGUUACCUAUUGUUUCUGAUGGGGCGUUAAUUGGUGUGGCACCCGGAACUCUUCCUCACUUCGGCAAGGGGUAAGCUGUGUUUUUUUUCCUCCGUGUUACAAACUAUUUAAUGAUGUUUCUGUACUUUAAUUUCUCUGUUAUUUUAUUGAUCUUUGAUGGGAAGAUAUUCUGUUACGUUUGUGUUGAUAUUUUCGUUGUAAUUUUCGCUCAAAGUAUGUACAUUAGCGCCAUUAAUGUCCGCGAUCGUUAUGAAGUUAACAGGUGCUAACGAGCCUAUUGUGUCGCAGGAAUGCCGUUCGCUUCGACCCCUUGCAGUGUGCUUCAUUGUGUCCGCCCUGUCAGGUAUGUGUUAAUGUAUGAAAGAGAUCCCUGUGGUAUUUUCGGUGAUAAACAUUGUGUUUUCUUUUGGUUUUAACUUUGUAAACUAUACGAUCUAAGUGCCUUGGUUUCUCUAUUAUACUGUAAACAAUAGCUUGUCUAGCUGCUUUAGUGUUCUCUCACUUCUGGAAGAUUGGCAAGGGGAAAGCCGUUUGCUUCGACCCCAAAGAAUCUGCUUGCAGUGUGCCUCAUUGUGUCCGCCCUGUCUUGUUUCAGAUUGGGAAGUAAAUAAAUGCUACUGGAUCGAGGCCCCUCAUCUCUCCUGCCUCUUCAAUCAUCCAAAGACUGUUUAGUCUGUUAUUUUAAUGUACCGUAAUGGUCGGUUCAUGUCCGUUGCAUUGACUUGACUUGUCAUUGGGUCUGAUUUUAAAUGUGCCAUAUAGUUCAAUGUGGGAGCAGGUUCACACACUAAAUAAGACACUAAGGUCAAUUUGUUUAUUUUUCUCAGAGCAGAGUAGAGCAGAUGUUUCAGGUUGCUGCCAUCAGAGAGCAGUGACUUGACCUCAGUGUCUUAUUUAGUGUACUCCCACAUUGAACUCUACUUUUUGGGUCCACGCACCUACUUAUUUCUAAACAUCUAGAGUGCAACAAUACCCCUGCCUCCUAAUGUGCCAUAUAACCUGCAUCUCGCCUAUUGUGUGUGUGUGUGUGUGUGUGUUUGUGAAUGUGUUCACGCAGAUAUAAGAAGUUGGGAUUGGGGUUGAUGAUCCACAUGAUGGUGAUGGACCAGGACAGCUCUGGACCUCCUGACUGGCAGCUCCAUCCUCAACCUCCCUUCCUGUCCUUCACACAUGUGCAGGCAGAGAGGCAGUUUUCUGAAGGAUGGUUAAUGUCAGUACCAACAUGUUGUGAUGGAGGCUUCCACCUGAGCUGAACACAGAAACUUGCACACAGUGAUGGAAGCAGUCGUUCCUGUUCAGCAUUGAUAUGCCGGUAAUGGGUUUGAUGAACCACAGCAUGGUGAUGGGCAAUCAGCAUCAGGACCAGGGCCGCUCACAAGGAGAACCUCCUGCCUUGCCUCUUCAUCCUCAACCUCCAAUCUUCCUGCUCUUCACACAUGUGCAGGCACAGAGCCAGUUUUCAGAGGGAGGGCUGAUGACACCAGCAACUUCGGAUCUGAACCUGAUCAACCCAGCACCAACCACUGUGCCGCUCCUCCUCUGCCAACUGCACCACAUGGCUCCCCCAUCUCAAAAAGGCACAGACACUACUCCACUUCCUGCGAAGGAUGAGAGAAGAGCCGACCUCCCCACAACGGCACUCACCACCUUCUACAGGGGUGUCAUUGAGAGCAUCCUGACCAGCAGCCUCUCUGUCUGGCAUGGCAGCCGUCAAGCUGAAGACUAGAAGGCAGUACAGAGAGUGGUGAGGACAGCAGAAAAGCUCAUAAGAUCACCCCUACCUGUUCUCCCUACUACCAUCAGGGAAGCGCUAGCCCAGCAUGCGGUGCUGCAAAAGCACACUGGGAAACGGCUUCUUUCCACAAGCCAUCAGACUCCUCAAAGUACUGAAGAAAACCACAUGAAUAACCAAGGACAUGGGAGAAUAUUCCAUGAACACUUCUUUCACCAUGCCACUUACACUUUACUCAUUGCACCUUGUAUACAGCAUCUUCACAUCACCUGUAUGAACUUCUCCUGCCGUGUGUGUGUGUGUGUCCACUGUGUUUGUGUAUUUAUUGUCCAUCAGUAUGUUAAUCUUAUUAUUGCACACUGUUUGGGUGUCUGUGUGAGUGUAUUUAUAGUAUGUAUCAGUCUGUAUUUAAUGCCAAUGCCUUAUUUUUAGUUAUUAGUUAAAUGCACAUUGGAGACUGGUCAAACACAAUUUCAAACUUUGUGUUAACCCUCCAUAGAUUUUUGUCAAAAAAUGGAGUCUAAUCUACUGUACUACACAGGCUAUCAACAGACCACACAGUUGAGUGCUGUUUUAUGCACUCUGAAUAUGAGGAGAGGGAGAGGUGACCGUUCACACUUCAUAGUGUAAAAGUAAACAGAAAUAAAUUCACAUUUCAUUCCUGUCUCGUUCACUUCUUUCAGCAAUGUAUGUGGCCUACAUGCCGGGAAGCUGACAGGGGGGACAAAGGGGUCCGUUGACCUGGGCCCAGUGAGACGAGGGGUCCAGGAAUAGGUCCUCAUUACAUUGUAUGUAGUCUAUGUAUUGAGUGGGGGGCCCUUUCAGAUGACUUUGUCCUGGGCAAAGCCAAAGCUGUCAGCGGCCCUGAUUAUGUAUGCACAAACACUGGUUAUGAUGAUAGGAAAAGUUUUCUCUGUUUUCUGAUGGCCUUUGAAUUAAGACAGGCCAAUCUGGAACCUCUCCUGGAUAAAGUGUAAGCUUCAAUGGUGUGGUCACUCCUAAAUCAUAGACAGACAUGGAGUAUGGUAGGCCUAUGGUAAUGAAGAAAUCGUUUUUCUCCAAUAAAACAAACAAAUAGCCUAUUGCUAUUUCAAAUA